rnacentral:rRNA from 1 species
CCCUUAGAUGUUCUGGGCCGCACGCGCGCUACACUGUUCGACGCAGCGAGUCUUAACCUUGACCGAAAGGUUUGGGUAAUCUUCAGCAAAGUCGAACGUGAUGGGGAUCGAUCAUUGCAAUUAUUGAUCGUGAACGAGGAAUUCCUAGUAAGUGCAAGUCAUCAGCUUGCGCUGAUUACGUCCCUGCCCUUUGUACACACCGCCCGUCGCUACUACCGAUUGAAUGGUUUAGUGAGAUCUCUGGAUUGACGCUGGCUAGGGGGCGACCCUUGGCCAGACUGUUGAGAAACUGCUCAAACUUGAUCAUUUAGAGGAAGUAAAAGUUGUAACA